GGCUCAGAACGAACGCUGGCGGCGCGCCUAAUACAUGCAAGUCGAGCGAGAAGACGUAGCAAUACGUUUGUAAAGCGGCGAACGGGUGAGGAAUACAUGGGUAACCUACCCUCGAGUGGGGAAUAACUAGCCGAAAGGUUAGCUAAUACCGCAUACGACUCCUGGUCUGCGGAUCGGGAGAGAAAGCGAUACCGUGGGUAUCGCGCUCUUGGAUGGGCUCAUGUCCUAUCAGCUAGUUGGUGAGGUAACGGCUCACCAAGGCUUCGACGGGUAGCUGGUCUGAGAGGACGAUCAGCCACACUGGCACUGCGACACGGGCCAGACUCCUACGGGAGGCAGCAGUAAGGAAUAUUGCGCAAUGGACGAAAGUCUGACGCAGCGACGCCGCGUGGGGGAUGAAGGUCUUCGGAUUGUAAACCCCUUUCGGGAGGGAAGAUGGAGUGGGUAACCACCUGGACGGUACCUCCAGAAGCAGCCACGGCUAACUUCGUGCCAGCAGCCGCGGUAAUACGAAGGUGGCAAGCGUUGUUCGGAUUCACUGGGCGUACAGGGAGCGUAGGCGGUUCGGUAAGCCCUCUGUGAAAUCUCCAGGCUUAACCUGGAACAGUCGGAGGGGACUGCUGGGCUAGAGGACGGGAGAGGAGCGCGGAAUUCCCGGUGUAGCGGUGAAGUGCGUAGAGA
rnacentral:rRNA from 1 species